rnacentral:snoRNA from 1 species
UUCUCUACUGUGAUGAACCAUUUACGGAUGUAAAACUGUUCUCCUUCGGGGGAACUUGUCAUUUGUCCGAGAGCGCAAAACCAUGUGGAUGUUUCCGUUGCCUUCCUACUGAUCUACGAGG